rnacentral:rRNA from 1 species
UACGGGGGGGGCAAGCGUUGUUCGGAAUUACUGGGCGUAAAGGGCUCGUAGGCGGCCAACUAAGUCAGACGUGAAAUCCCUCGGCUUAACCGGGGAACUGCGUCUGAUACUGGAUGGCUUGAAUCCGGGAGAGGGAUGCGGAAUUCCAGGUGUAGCGGUGAAAUGCGUAGAUAUCUGGAGGAACACCGGUGGCGAAGGCGACUACCCUGGCCUGUUCUUGACCGCUGGAGGCGCGAAAGCUAGGGGUAGCAAACGGG